rnacentral:rRNA from 1 species
AUUGAACGCUGGCGGCAGGCCUAACACAUGCAAGUCGAGCGAGCGGCGGACGGGUGAGUAAUGUCUGGGAAACUGCCUGAUGGAGGGGGAUAACUACUGGAAACGGUAGCUAAUACCGCAUACCAUCAGAUGUGCCCAGAUGGGAUUAGCUAGUAGGUGGGGUAAUGGCUCACCUAGGCGACGAUCCCUAACUGGUCUGAGAGGAUGACCAGCAAACCUGGAACUGUGACAGGGUCCAGGCGCCGAAGUGAGGGAGCAGUGGGGAAUAUUGAACAAUGGGCGCAAGCCUGAUGCAGCCAUGCCGCGUGUGUGAAGAAGGCCGUCGGGUUGUAAAGCACUUUCAGCGAGGAGGCGUUCUCGAAGAAAAGCACCGGCUAACUCCGUGCCAGCAGCCGCGGUAAUAC